rnacentral:rRNA from 1 species
UAGGGAAUCUUCCGCAAUGGGCGAAAGCCUGACGGAGCAACGCCGCGUGAGUGAUGAAGGUCUUCGGAUCGUAAAACUCUGUUAUUAGGGUAGAACAAAUGUGUAAGUAACUAUGCACGUCUUGACGGUACCUAAUCAGAAAGCCACGGCUAAUUACGUGCCAGCAGCCGCGGUAAUACGUAGGUGGCAAGCGUUAUCCGGAAUUAUUGGGCGUAAAGCGCGCGUAGGCGGUUUUUUAAGUCUGAUGUGAAAGCCCACGGCUCAACCGUGGAGGGUCAUUGUAAACUGGAAAACGUGAGUGCAGAAGAUGAAAGUGGAAUUCCCUGUGUAGCUGUGAAAUGCGCAGAGAUAUGGAGGAACACCAGUGGAGAAGGCGACUUUCUGGUCUGAAACUGACGCUAAUGUGCGAAAGCGUGGCGAUCAAACAGG